rnacentral:rRNA from 1 species
CCUACGGGUGGCAGCAGUGGGGGAUAUUGCACAAUGGGGGAAACCCUGAUGCAGCGACGCCGCGUGUGGGAAGACGGUCCUCUGGAUUGUAAACCACUGUCCCCAGGGACGAAGAUGACGGUACCUGGGGAGGAAGCUCCGGCUAACUACGUGCCAGCAGCCGCGGUAAUACGUAGGGAGCGAGCGUUGUCCGGAAUUACUGGGUGUAAAGGGAGCGUAGGCGGGACUGCAAGUUGGGGGUAAAAUCUACGGGCUCAACCGGUAGCCGCACUCAAAACUGCAGUUCUUGAGUGAAGUAGAGGCAGGCGGAAUUCCUAGUGUAGCGGUGAAAUGCGUAGAUAUUAGGAGGAACACCAGUGGCGAAGGCGGCCUGCUGGGCUUUUACUGACGCUGAGGCUCGAAAGUGUGGGGAGCAAACAGGAUUAGAUACCCUGGUAGUC